rnacentral:rRNA from 1 species
GACGAACGCUGGCGGCGUGCCUAAUACAUGCAAGUCGAGCGCAGGAAGCCGACGGAACCCUUCGGGGGGAAGUCGACGGAAUGAGCGGCGGACGGGUGAGUAACACGUAAAGAACCUGCCCUCAGGUCUGGGAUAACCACGAGAAAUCGGGGCUAAUACCGGAUGGGUCAUCGGACCGCAUGGUCCGAGGAUGAAAGGCGCUCCGGCGUCGCCUGGGGAUGGCUUUGCGGUGCAUUAGCUAGUUGGGGGGGUAAUGGCCCACCAAGGCGACGAUGCAUAGCCGACCUGAGAGGGUGAUCGGCCACACUGGGAGUGAGACACGGCCCAGACUCCUACGGGAGGCAGCAGUAGGGAAUCUUCCACAAUGGACGAAAGUCUGAUGGAGCAACGCCGCGUGAACGAUGAAGGCCUUCGGGUCGUAAAGUUCUGUUGCAAGGGAAGAACAAGUGCCGCAGGCAAUGGCGGCACCUUGACGGUACCUUGCGAGAAAGCCACGGCUAACUACGUGCCAGCCGCCGCGGUAA